rnacentral:rRNA from 1 species
CAGCACCUCAAGUGGUCAGGAUGAUUAUUGGGCCUAAAGCAUCCGUAGCCGGCGCUGUAAGUUUUCGGUUAAAUCUGUACGCUCAACGUACAGGUUGCCGGGAAUACUGCAGCGCUAGGGAGUGGGAGAGGUAGACGGUACUCGGUAGGAAGGGGUAAAAUCCUUUGAUCUAUUGAUGACCACCUGUGGCGAAGGCGGUCUACCAGAACACGUCCGACGGUGUGGGAUGAAAGCUGGGGGAGCAAACCGGAUUAGAUACCCGAGUAGUCC